rnacentral:antisense_RNA from 1 species
AACUACUCCUUUUAUGGGUAACUUAACUAAGCAUGAAGAAAAAUUCUUUGCGUGGAAUUUCUUCAUGCUUUUAUUAUA